UUCCUACGGGUGGCAGCAGUAAGGAAUAUUGGGCAAUGGUCGGAAGACUGACCCAGCCAUGCCGCGUGCAGGAAGAAGGCCCUAUGGGUUGUAAACUGCUUUAGCCAGGGGCUAAACCUACCGAUGCGUUGGUAGCUGAAGGUACCUGGAGAAUAAGCAUCGGCUAACUCCGUGCCAGCAGCCGCGGUAAUACGGAGGAUGCGAGCGUUAUCCGGAUUUACUGGGUUUAAAGGGUGCGCAGGCGGUUGUUUAAGUCAGGGGUGAAAGCCCUAUGCUCAACAUAGGGAUUGCCUUUGAUACUGAACGGCUAGAGUGAAGAUGGAGUGGGUGGAAUGUGUUGUGUAGCGGUGAAAUGCAUAGAUAUAACACAGAACACCGAUCGCGAAGGCAGCUCACUAAUUUUCAACUGACGCUCAUGCACGAAAGCGUGGGGAUCAAACAGGAUUAGAUACCCCAGUAGUCAC
rnacentral:rRNA from 1 species